GUCAGGAAAAGCCGCUGUGGCCGAGGGCCGUGGAGUGCGCCGGCCUUUCCCUCGAAAAUCAGGUGUCCUUGUGUAAAUUCACAUUUCAGGUUCCUCUUUCAGCUCGAGCCUCUAUUUACCUUUAUUCUGGAACCUUUGCAGAGGUGGAGUCCACCCCGUGCAGAGGCGUUUCACACUGCAGUUGGAUGGCAGUGACAGUUUGGAGCUUGGAAAAAUAGGAUGGGUUUGGUAACGCCUCUCAAGGGUGCUAAGAGUUUUUACUCUGUUUUUGGAAUAUCGUUUGAGAUGAGAAAUUAGGUUCUUUUCAGAGGCACUUCAGUAAUUCAACUAUAUGAUUUCAUUGACUUCAUGGUUGAAAUAGUUAUGCAUAUUUUUAAUGUACCAAGAGCUACAAUUAAUCUCUAUUCUGCAGUUAUAAAUAUUGGUGAAAUUUUAACUCUUUCAAGAUCAAUGGCAAAGCUCUGUCUUCAGUGGGGCAAGGACUGACAGAAUCUGAAAAGGAGGUGAUUGAAAAGGAAGAUGGGAAGUCAGAGGCAGAUUGUACUUACGCUGAGAAGCGUGGACAGACUCACAACAGACAGGAGAUAGAGACUGGGAAAACAGCUGAUUGUGAAUUUAUCUGUCUUUUCAGGCAGAGAGCCCAGAAUGUGAUUUUGGAAAAGGGAGAGAGAAAGACCUAAAUUCUGAGAAUCUGUGGAUACAUUUGGCUAGAAGAUGAGUAUGAGAAGCCUGAGAAAUGGACAUGGUAGCAUUUCCCAGAAAAAUAAGAGAAUGGGAUCACCCUUGUUCCUGUUGAUGCAUGCUCAUGAUCUGGACCCCACGGCUCAAGCAAGACUGAGGGACAAAUCUUGUCAGGCAGCGUGGUAAGAAGCUGGAUCAUCUUUCUUCAUCUGCUCACUGCCUUCACAGAAUUUGAAAGUGUGACGAAGUAUUUCAUCCCUUUACAGGAUUAGGGAUACGGAUUUGCCUGUCAUGGAGGUGCUGCUGGCUGGGUCACUGCCUGGUAGAGGGUGUCUCUUAAACCUGAUAUAACCUGAAGCAUGCACUUUCUUAGGAGGUCUACAGCUGGGCUGGAGAACUGCAAACGUUCAUCCUUUCACUCCUGUCAUCUGCUUCCACAUGACUGCAGUGCCUCUGCUGUGCUCUCAGCUCACUCACCCUGAAACGCUCCUUGUGAUGGUUUGUACUGAGCUGCUACAGAGCAGACUUUGCUUUUGGUGGCAGUAUCCCUUGUUGCUGCGUCAUUUAUAGAAGAGAUGACUUCAUCCUUGCCUUUAUUCCACUGGGACCAGCUGCCCUACACACAGGAACCAAAAGAGGCAAAUACCUAUAACCUCUUUCAAUUUCCUAUUGAAGGCCUACAUCACAUGAACUUCUUGGGGUUUUUUGAGAGGUAAAGCUUUUUAAUUUUUUACAAACAAACAAAAAAAAACCCCAAAAACCCCAAAACUACAAACCAGAAACCAACCUAAAACCAACAAAACCAAAACCUACCAAAAAAAAAAAAAUCAAAACCUACACAUUGAACCCAAGUUGGAGAAACAGCUGCAUCGUGUGACUGAUACA